rnacentral:rRNA from 1 species
UUGUUAGUGGCAGACGGGUGAGUAAUGCGUAGGAAUCUACCUAGUAGUACGGAAUAGCCAUUAGAAAUGGUGGGUAAUACUGUAUAAUCCCCGAGGGGGAAAGAUUUAUCGCUAUUAGAUGAGCCUACGUUAGAUUAGCUAGUUGGUGAGGUAAUGGCUUACCAAGGCUAUGAUCUAUAGCUGGUCUGAGAGGACGAUCAGCCACACUGGAACUGAGAUACGGUCCAGACUCCUACGGGAGGCAGCAGUGGGGAAUAUUGGACAAUGGGCGAAAGCCUGAUCCAGCUAUGCCGCGUGAGUGAAGAAGGCCUUCGGGUUGUAAAACUCUUUCAAUAGGGAAGAUAAUGACCGGUACCUAUAAA